AGAAAGUUUCUAAUUAUUAUUAAAAAAGGAGAAGUAAGAGAAGUUCUCUUGUAAUCUCUGGAACCAAGAAAUCCCACCAGCCCGUGACGAAGUGCAGGUGGCUAGUUGUAAUCUCUGGAACCAAGAAAACCCACCAGCCCGUGACGAAGUGCAGGUGGCUAGUACAACUGUUUUGAUUCAUAUAGAUCGAGUCUAUGAAAGAGGCUUCAAUGGAACAAUUACUCGGCUAUAUUUGUUGACAAUGCCAUCAGUAAGAGAUUGUCUUCUUCAGCUACGAUUAUAAUUUGGAUGUGAGCUUCAU
rnacentral:lncRNA from 1 species